AUUGCACAGAAUGUUGACAUGAUGGCAGAGAACACUAAUGUUAAGGUGAAAGUAAUGAACAGACAGAGCUUGGACACUUCUGCUAACUUCAGUUCCGAGGAUUCAAGAUUUAAAUGUUGGUGUCAUGAGAUUUUCGAUCCAAACCGAAGUCCAGAGAAAUGCAGUCCAGGACUGGAUGAGACAGUGUUAUCUGAAAGAAACUCUAUCAUCUCCAUUAAGUCAAUCGGCUCAGGAUAUUCUUCAAGAAGAUGCACAGGCAUUUUCUUAAACUCUGAAUGUGAAUAAUAGAUAUCCUCAUAAUGUAUUAUAAAUGCAGGCUUCAUAAAGGGGGGGUUUGCAUUGUUUUUUCUAAUUUUAUUUUACCUAUUUGUUGUGUAGAGCAGUUAGCUUAGCAAGAUACACUUUUGGGGAAACCACCGAGUAACAUUUUGACCUGAGCUCUGUGAAUUUUAUCACGGCCCUGUGCAAUUGGUAUUUUUAAAUGAUUAAUUUGAGAAUUGACUUGGGGGAUAAAGUGCAUACAGACAUCCGAAAUGAAACAUUGCUAGAGCGUGCAAUGUAGAUCAUGCUGCAUGUCACACACAAACACCCCUUAGUUGUAAAGACCUUGUUUUACCUGCUGUGUUAGUAUGAGUGCAAGAGUGGAUAUAUUUGAAAGAACCUGUUGUAACUUAUCAAUUGUUUUCUUUUUAUGUACUGUAAGUACAGUAUAUACUGUGUAUUUUGUCCACUGAAUAAAAUUGUCCAAACAAUUGUCUGGGGAUUUUGU
ensembl:lncRNA